rnacentral:rRNA from 1 species
UACGGAGGGUGCAAGCGUUGUCCGGAAUCACUGGGCGUAAAGGGCGCGUAGGCGGCUCGGUAAGUAGGGGGGUGAAAUCCUGCGGCUUAACCGCAGGGCUGCCUUCUAAACUGUCGAGCUCGAGCACGGUAGAGGCAGAUGGAAUUCCCGGUGUAGCGGUGGAAUGCGUAGAGAUCGGGAAGAACAUCAGUGGCGAAGGCGGUCUGCUGGGCCGUUGCUGACGCUGAGGCGCGACAGCGUGGGGGAGCAAACAGG